rnacentral:rRNA from 1 species
GCUAGCAGCCAUAUCACCCUGCAGCUCUUAACUGGCUACCCACUGAAGCUAAGCAGGGUAGAGCCUGGUCAGUUCCUGGAUGGUAGACCUCCUAUGAAGCUAUGGUUGCUGCUGGAA